AUUGAACGCUGGCGGCAGGCCUAACACAUGCAAGUCGAGCGCGAAAACACUUCGGUGUGAGUAAAGCGGCGGACGGGUGAGUAACGCGUAGGAAUCUACCUAGUAGUGGGGGACAACUCGGGGAAACUCGGGCUAAUACCGCAUACGCCCUACGGGGGAAAGGCUUCGGCCGCUAUUGGAUGAGCCCGCGUCGGAUUAGCUUGUUGGUAGGGUAAAGGCCUACCAAGGCGACGAUCCGUAGCUGGUCUGAGAGGACGAACAGCCACACUGGGACUGAGACACGGCCCAGACUCCUACGGGAGGCAGCAGUGGGGAAUAUUGGACAAUGGGGGAAACCCUGAUCCAGCAAUGCCGCGUGUGUGAAGAAGGCCUGCGGGUUGUAAAGCACUUUCAGUAGGGAAGAUAGUGACGUUACCUACAGAAGAAGCACCGGCUAACUCCGUG
rnacentral:rRNA from 1 species